CAUAUUGACCAGGCUGGUCUCGAACUCCUGAUCUAGUGAUCCGCCCGCCUCGACCUCCCAAACUGCUGGGAUUACAGGCGUGAGCCACUGUGCGCGGCCUUAAUUUCCUUUUAGACACUGCUCCCAUUGUUGUUUCCCAGUUUGGCUUGUCCAUGGUUUGGGUGCUUUUUAUAUUAGGCCAUUUCACAAAUUGGUCUCACUUUGGUAAGGGGUCACCCCUAAUUCAAACAACUGUAACUAGAGAGUCAAUCACGUAAUGGCCACCUAGAGUUGCCUCAUCACUUGAAGUGCUUGGGCAGGACAGUCUAAGCUCAGACAGUAGAUGGAGGAGAGGUUAAAUACGGUUAAUGACUAGGAGAUGGUACACCUACUGAGGGUAAUAACCAAGCUUAAGGGCAGAGAAAUUAGGCAAUAUUUAUUUAUUUAUAAAUUUAACAAAUUUGACCAAGAAAAAGAUUAUGGAACUGGACAGCAUUCUAGACCAAAGAUGGUUCACAAUGGCCCUACUUUCAAAGUGGUGAGCUAUAUUUAUAACCAGAAAACAGGUGAAAUAGGCAAUAUUUAAUUCACUGAUCUUAUCAGUUGAGUUUUUUAAUUAAAAUUUUUAUUUUUGCUUUAAAUUUUUUUUUAACUUUUAGGUUGUGGGGUACAUGUGCAAGUUGGUUAUAUAGGUAAACUUGUGUCAUAGGGGUUCACUGUACAUAUUAUUUCGUCACCCAGGUACCAAGUCUAGUAUCCAAUAGUUACUUUUUCUGAUCCUGAGAGAGGUCUUCGUAACAAGAUUCUGUGAAAGGAGAGUAAGAACAUGGCGUUGAUGAUACGAGAUAACUCGCCAAGGAUUUCAUAGCAGGCCACUUGGACCACUUUCAUCAUUUUCUGGAGAUCUUUAUAUUCUUGAUACAACAACAUCCUAUUUCGGCCGAUGUUAAAAUCGAGGACUCCCAGAGCCUCUCCUGUUCUCUCACGAAGUGGAACUACUAUGUGGGUUUCUCCACAGGCAGAGGCCAGAACGACUUCUGAACUGUCAGUACAUUUAAAGAGGAAAUCUCUGAAAUCAAAACCAAAUAAGCACAAAGAUAUUAAACUUCUGCCUGUUCACAUCAUUCCACCCAA